rnacentral:rRNA from 1 species
UGAGUAACCUGCCCUUAACUCUGGGAUAAGCCUGGGAAACUGGGUCUAAUACCGGAUAUGACUCCUCAUCGCAUGGGUGGGGGGUGGAGAGCUUUAUUGUGGUUUUGGAUGGACUCGCGGCCUAUCAGCUUGUUGGUGAGGUAAUGGCUCACCAAGGCGACGACGGGUAGCCGGCCUGAGAGGGUGACCGGCCACACGUGGGACUGAGACACGGCCCAGACCUCCGUACGGGAGCAG